rnacentral:rRNA from 1 species
GAUCAUGGCUCAGGAUGAACGCUAGCUACAGGCUUAACACAUGCAAGUCGGGGGGCAGCAUUUCAGUUUUGCUUGCAAACUGGAGAUGGCGACCGGCGCACGGGUGAGUAACACGUAUCCAACCUGCGUGAUAACUCGGGGAUAGCCUUUCGAAAGAAAGAUUAAUACCCGAUGGCAUAAUUAGACCGCAUGGUCUUUGUUAUUAAAGAAUUUCGGUUAUCGAUGGGAUGCGUUCCAUUAGG